GCAUGGUAGAACUAUUAAAGAAUUUCGGUCAUCGAUGGGGAUGCGUUCCAUUAGGUUGUUGGCGGGGUAACGGCCCACCAAGCCUUCGAUGGAUAGGGGUUCUGAGAGGAAGGUCCCCCACAUUGGAACUGAGACACGGUCCAAACUCCUACGGGAGGCAGCAGUGAGGAAUAUUGGUCAAUGGACGAGAGUCUGAACCAGCCAAGUAGCGUGAAGGAUGACUGCCCUAUGGGUUGUAAACUUCUUUUAUACGGGAAUAAAGUGAGGCACGUGUGCCUUUUUGUAUGUACCGUAUGAAUAAGGAUCGGCUAACUCCGUGCCAGCAGCCGCGGUAAUACGGAGGAUCCGAGCGUUAUCCGGAUUUAUUGGGUUUAAAGGGAGCGUAGGCGGACGCUUAAGUCAGUUGUGAAAGUUUGCGGCUCAACCGUAAAAUUGCAGUUGAUACUGGGUGUCUUGAGUACAGUAGAGGCAGGCGGAAUUCGUGGUGUAGCGGUGAAAUGCUUAGACAUCACGAAGAACUCCGAUUGCGAAGGCAGCUUGCUGGACUGUAACUGACGCUGAUGCUCGAAAGUGUGGGUAUCAAACAGGAUUAGAUACCCUGGUAGUCCACACAGUAAACGAUGAAUACUCGCUGUUUGCGAUAUACAGUAAGCGGCC
rnacentral:rRNA from 1 species